CCUACGGGAGGCAGCAGUGAGGAAUAUUGGUCAAUGGCCGAGAGGCUGAACCAGCCAAGUCGCGUGAGGGAAGACGGCCCUACGGGUUGUAAACCUCUUUUGUCGGGGAGCAAAGCGAGUCACGUGUGACUCAUUGAGAGUACCCGAAGAAAAAGCAUCGGCUAAGUCCGUGCCAGCAGCCGCGGUAAUACGGAGGAUGCGAGCGUUAUCCGGAUUUAUUGGGUUUAAAGGGUGCGCAGGCGGAGGUGCAAGUCAGCGGUCAAAUUGCGGGGCUCAACCCCGUACUGCCGUUGAAACGGUAGCCCUUGAGUGCGCGAGAAGUAUGCGGAAGGCGUGGUGUAGCGGUGAAAUGCAUAGAUAGCACGCAGAACUCCGAUUGCGAAGGCAGCAUACCGGCGCGCAACUGACGCUCAUGCACGAAAGCGUGGGUAUCGAACAGGAUUAGAUACCCGAGUAGUC
rnacentral:rRNA from 1 species